AUACUAAAUUCAAGGGAAAUUACCAUAAAUACCACAUUCAUAGUAUCAUUUUUCAUGUUUAUAUUAACAACUUUUACCCUCACUUUUAAUUAAUGGUAAAAGAUAUUUAUAUCCCUAGGGUUAACUAAUAUAGACUUAGGGUUUAGAGUUGAUGGAUGAGGUAGGGUGUUUGAAAUGUGAAAUUUAGGAUUCUAAUAAUGGCAAUUGUCAAUAAUAGCACAUUUUGAGUUUUUGUCUCAAAAAUGGCACUAGAAAGAGAAAGUCACAAAAAUGACAUUCAUUAAAGGGUAAAAUAUCUCUAAUACCUUUGGUUUAAAAUUAAAUAAACAAACAAAAAUAAUAAAAACAAAUAAAAUAAAAAUGAAAAAAAGAAAUUUUUUUAUAGUUUCAGAUUCGAAAUUUUUAUAAUUUCUUUUUGAAAUUUUUUUUUGAAUUUUUUAUUUUAUUUUUUCUUUCAAAUUUUCUUUUUAUAAUUCAAAAAUACUUUUUGAAACUGUUUUUAAAAUUUUUAUUUUUUAAUUUUUUAGUAUUUAUUUUUAAUUUUAUAAAAUUUUAAACCUUAAUUCCAAAACCCCACCCCUUAACUCUAAACGCUAAGGUUUUGAUUAAUUAACCCAAGGUGUAUAAGUGUAUAUUUACUUCUUUAAUGAAACUUAUUUUUGUGACUUUGAGCUUUGAAUGCUAGUUUGGAAACAAAAACUUGGUUUGGUGCUAUCCUAGUCUAUUUCUUUCUAAUAUAUAUAUAUAUAUAUAUAUAUAUAUAUAUAAAUAAUUAAAAAAAAUAUAAAUUUAAAAAAAUACUUUCAAACAUAAUUUUUUAUUUUUAAAAGUAAUUUUGGAAAAAGAAAAUUUUGAAAAAAAAGUCAAAAUUUUUUUUUUUAUAAAAAGUUCGAAUUUGAACAAAGAUAUAUAGAGAACAAAGAUAUUCGAAUCAAAUUUUAUUUUUUAUUUAAUUAA
rnacentral:lncRNA from 1 species